UCCCUGGCAGUCUAGUGGUUAAGACUUUGCACUUCAGCUGUAGGGGACACAGGUUCGAUUCCUGGUCAGGGAA
rfam:TPA: Bos taurus chromosome 7, whole genome shotgun sequence.